rnacentral:rRNA from 1 species
UACGUAGGGCGCAAGCGUUGUCCGGAAUUAUUGGGCGUAAAGAGCUCGUAGGCGGUCUGUUGCGUCCGCUGUGAAAACUCGGGGCUUAACCCCGAGCCUGCAGUGGAUACGGGCAGGCUAGAGGUAGGUAGGGGAGAAUGGAAUUCCCGGUGUAGCGGUGAAAUGCGCAGAUAUCGGGAGGAACACCGGUGGCGAAGGCAGCCUCCUGGGCCAACACUGACGCUCAUGCACGAAAGCGUGGGGAGCAAACAGG